rfam:TPA: Bos taurus chromosome 7, whole genome shotgun sequence.
UAGCUCAGUCGGUAAAGAGUUUGCCUGCAAUGCAGGAGACCCAGGUUCGAUCCCUGG